GACGAACGCUGGCGGCGUGCUUAACACAUGCAAGUCGAACGGAAAGGCCCUGCUUUUGUGGGGUGCUCGAGUGGCGAACGGGUGAGUAACACGUGAGUAACCUGCCCUUGACUUUGGGAUAACUUCAGGAAACUGGGGCUAAUACCGGAUAGGAGCUCCUGCUGCAUGGUGGGGGUUGGAAAGUUUCGGCGGUUGGGGAUGGACUCGCGGCUUAUCAGCUUGUUGGUGGGGUAGUGGCUUACCAAGGCUUUGACGGGUAGCCGGCCUGAGAGGGUGACCGGCCACAUUGGGACUGAGAUACGGCCCGGACUCCUACGGGAGGCAGCAGUGGGGAAUAUUGCACAAUGGGCGGAAGCCUGAUGCAGCAACGCCGCGUGCGGGAUGAAGGCCUUCGGGUUGUAAACCGCUUUCGCCUGUGACGAAGCGUGAGUGACGGUAAUGGGUAAAGAAGCACCGGCUAACUACGUG
rnacentral:rRNA from 1 species